rnacentral:rRNA from 1 species
UACGUAGGGUGCGAGCGUUGUCCGGAAUUAUUGGGCGUAAAGAGCUUGUAGGCGGUUUGUCGCGUCUGCCGUGAAAAUCCGGGGCUCAACCCCGGACUUGCGGUGGGUACGGGCAGACUAGAGUGUGGUAGGGGAGACUGGAAUUCCUGGUGUAGCGGUGAAAUGCGCAGAUAUCAGGAGGAACACCAGCGGCGAAGGCGCCGCUCUGGGCCGUAACUGACGCUGAGGAGCGAAAGCAUGGGUAGCAAACAGG